AAUUGUUUACAAAUAGUGAGCGUGUGAUAUGCGUGUUGUCUUGUAUGUAAGUAUUUGAAUUACCAACAUGUGUGUUGCUCUUUUUCAUUACUUUAUCCUUGUGGUUUUUUUGAAAACAUAGUAGAUAUAGUAUGAUAAAACAAAACAAGUCAUAUUACUUUCUAUUAAACAAGAUAUUUUAAUUAAUAUUUUCGAAUUUUGAUAUGAACCACCAAUGUAAAUAUUUAUCGUGGAUGUGUUGGAUUUGACAAUAAAUCAUUCUACCUUAAGAAGUUUUAUAUACAAAGUGAGAAAUCCUUUUAUCUUAAACUAUUUAUACACAAUUUUACAAAUAGGCAACUUCUUUUAAAUUGUUAAGUGUUAAUAUUUUGAAUUGAAAACAAUAAUAAGAAAUAUGAAAUGAUCAUAUACAAAGUGAGGACAUACAAGCAAAUAUUCAUGAUUUCAAUGUUUAAAGUAUUACCAUCACCACCACCUUCACCUUUAGAUAAUUUCUUUAAUAAAUUUUUUAUUUAAGUGUAUUUAUAUGUAUUAUUAAAAAUAUUAAUAAUAAUGAAUUUAAAAAUUAGUAUACUUGUUUAUAUUUUUAAUAUAAUAAUAAUAAUAAUAAUAGUAAUAAUAAUAAGGUUUUUGUUUGCAGAAAAGUCAUAAUAUUUUUUUUGCAGAAAAGUCCCAAUAUUUUAGGUCAUUUUGUGAAAUAGUCCCAAUAUUUUGAGUCAGUUUAUGAAAUAGUCCCAAAUUAAUUUGUUGCCGGUUCCAACCGGUCAAAAAUGGUCAAAAUGCAUACUUUUGCUGGUUUUUAGGACUUUUUCGUAAACAAAAAUUAGUUUAGGACUAAGACGUAAACCAGACCAAAAUUUUAGGACUUCUUUGGAGAUUUCCCUUUUCCUAAAACAUGAAUAUAAAAAAUAAUAACAUGUAAAAGUGAAAAAAAAAAACUAAACAUCGAUGAGUUUAACGUGAUCAAAAAACCUAUGAAAGAGAAAAAACAAGAAAACAUGGAGAGAUAAUAUUUUUUAGGGAUAAUUUAGUCAUUUUGUUAAUGUAUAUAAGAAAUUUAUGUUGAACGUUACUUGAAGUAAAUUUUGGAUUCAUAAUUUUUUUUUUAAACCAAAAGCUUUAAACUCGGAAUGAAUGAUGGAGUUUUUCAUUUUUUGCGAGUUUUUUUUAGAUACUAAAAGUUAAAAACAAAUAUUUGAUCAUUAAAGUUUUGGCUUUGUGCUUAUUUGGUCAUUAAUACAUUUUAAGUUUUAAAAUGUGAUUGAACUUGUUAAUUUUUGUCAAAUGAUUAUUAUGACCGACAAAAACAAGUUUCCAUACUUUUUUGGUUAACUAAAAUCAUUAAUGCUUUUAUGAUUGUUCAUUAAACUCUUGAUUUUGUGUGAGUUAAAUUCGUUUUUACAACUUUAUAUUUUAUUUUAUUUUUAUGUGGUUUUUCAUCAUUCGAUGUUUUUUUUCACAAACUAUUUUUACAACUUCAUUUUUUACUUUGUUUUUCAUGCUUUUUUCAAUUUGUUUUCAUUGUUGGAUUAUGUGUCUAUGUAACAUCUCGAAAUUCAUGUACACCUAUUUAACCCUUCUCAUUUGUCAAGUUUUCAAGAUUAGCCCUUGAGUGGGAAAGUGUUGCAAAUGAGUACGCUGGGCGUACCGGAGAGUACGCUGUGCGUACUCAUGCGCUUAAGUUGGAUGCGGACUCGCCUAGGUACGCUGGGCGUACCCAAGGUUACGUUGGGCGUAGGGGGCCCAGAUGCAAACCCUAAUUUAAGGCUUGUGUACUAUAAAAGGAAUGCUAAGGCCUUAUCCUCAGCCUCCAUUUCAGAGAGUGAAACCCUAAGAGAGCAUUUCCUUCGUCCUAAAGCUUGUGUGUGAGUAUUUUGAGCUAAAGGUGCCUUUGUGUGUUAGUGAAGAAGGAGGAGAGGAGCUUGUGGAGGCUAGAGUUUGAAGUUCAAGCUUGGAUCUGAGUUCUCCAGAGGAAGGAGCUUCACUUUGAGGCGGAGGCUAGACCAGAUUUUACCGAGUUCGAGAUUACCGAGUUACCCGAGGACGGGAAGGUCAAGAUGAUAUGGACCGGAAGGUCAAAAGGACAUGGUCCGGAAGGUCAGGAGGUUACGGACCAGAAGCUCGAUACGGGUAAGACCGGAAGGUAUACCGGGAUUUGGGACGGAAGUCCCCUGAGACACUCGGACCGGAGGGUCCCACAGAGUUAUGGCCUGGAAAGGCGUAUGUGUUGUAUGCGGUAUUUUGGGGAACUCACUAAGCAUUUAUGCUUACAGUUGUUGUGCUGUGUGUUUCAGGUACUAGCGAGAACCGUGGGAAGGCGCCGACAUGAUUCGUACACACUGAGAGGAUUAUUUAUUUGAAACCUAUUGAGAUUCUGGGAUUUGUUUGUUAUGAUAAUAUUGGAUACAGUUUGUUUGACAUUGUUUUGAUGAUUAAAAAUAUGAUUUAAAAAUGAAAAAUUGUUUUGAAAAUUUACGUCGUUACAGUCUAAUUCUAUAACUAUAAUUAAUAUGUAUUUGAAUUGAUAGUAACAUAUUCCUUUUGGGUUGUCCUCAAGACUAACAAUUAGAAAUGAUGAUAUUCAAGAAAGGAGAUUAAUUUAUUAUUUGAUUAAUAAGAUUGGAACUUGGGACCUCCUCUCCCUCUCUCUUAAUCAACAAAAGCCUUAGCCAACUAGACUAGAGCCACAUUUG